rnacentral:lncRNA from 1 species
UUCCCUUCCAUUCCCUUCCAUUCCCUUGCUCUCCCUCCACACUACACCCCCAUUUUCCCUUCCCUUCCACUCCCUUCCAUUCCCUUGCUCUCCCUUCCCACUACAUCCCCCAUUUCCCUUCCCUUCCCUUCCAUUCCAUGCUCUCCCUUGCAUACCAUUCCCACUACACCCCCCAUUUCCCCUCCCUUCCAUUCCCUUUAUCUCCCUUCCCCCUACACCCCCCAUUUCCCUUCCCUUCCAUUCCCUUGCUCUAUCUUCCCACUACACACGCCUUUUCCCUUCCCGUCCUUUCCCUUGCUUUCCCUUCCCACUUCAUUCCCCAUUUCCCUUCCCUUCCAUUCCCUACAAUUCCCUUUCUCUCCCUUCCUCUCCCUUCCCACUACACCCCCCAAUUACCUUCCCUUCCAUUUGCUUACUCUUCCUUCCCAAUACACCCCCAAUUCCCUUCCCAUCCAUUCCCUUGCUCUCCCUUCCCGCUACACACCCCAUUUCCCUUCCUUUCCAUUCCCUUGCUCUCCCUUCCCACUACACCCACCAUUUCCCUUCCCACCCAUUCCCUUCCUCCCUCUUUCCACUACACCCUGCAUUUCCCUUCCCUUCCAUUCCCUUCCAUUCCCUUCCAUUCCCUUGCUCUCCCUUCCCUCUACUACCCGCAUUUCCUUUCCCUUCCAUUCCCAUAUUCUCCCUUCCCACUACACUCCCCUUUUACCUUCACUCCCAUUCCCUUCCUCUCCCUUGCUCUCUCUCUCCACUACACCCGCCAUUUCCCUUGCCUUCCAUUCCCUUCCACUCCCUUCCAUUCACUUGGUCUCCCUUCCCACUACAACCCGCAUUUCCUUUCCCUUCCAUUCCCUUAUUCCCUUCCCAGUACACUCCCCUUUUCCCUUCCCUUCCAUUCCCUUACCUUACCUUCAGUUCCCUUGCUCUCCCACCCCACUGCACCACCCUUUUUCCUUCCCUCCCAUUCCUUUCUAUUUUCUUGCUCUCCCAUCCCACUUCAACCCCAUUUCCCUACCCUUCCAUUCCCUUCUAUUCCCUUGCUCUCCCUUCCCACUGCAGCAACAUUUCCCUUCCAUUCCAUUCCCUUGCUCUCCCUUCCCACUACAGCCCCCAUUUACCUUCCCUACCAUUCCCUUGGUCUCCGUUGCAUCCUCCUCGCACUCCACCCCCCAUUUUUCUUCCCUUCCAUUCCCUUUAUCUCCCUUCCCACUACACCUCCCAUUUCCCUUCCCUUCCAUUCCCUUGCUCUCCCUUCCCACUAUACCCCAGAUUUCCCUUCCCUUCCCUUCACUUCCGUUCCCUUGCUCUCCCUUUCCACUACUACCACCAUUUCCCCUCCCUUCCAUUCCCUUCCAUAACCGUGCUCUCUCUUCCCAGUACACCUCCCUUUUCCCUUCCCUUCCAUUCCCGGGCAUUCCCUUCCAUUCACCUUCUACCCCUUCCCACUGCACCCCCCUUUUCCCUUCCCUUCCAUUCCCUUCCUCUCUUCCCACUACACUCCCCUUUUCCAUUCCAUUCCAUUCCCUUUACUUACCUUCAAUUGCCUCGCUCUCCCUCCCCAGUACACCCCUUAUUUCCCUUCCCUUCCAUUCCCUUCAAAUUCCUUGCUCUCUCAUCCCACUACACCCCCAAUUUCCCUUCCCGUCCAUUCCCUUCCAUUCCCUUCCAUUCACUUGCUCUCCGUUCCCACUUCUCCCCGCAUUUCCCUUCCCUUCCAUUCCCUUAUUCUCCCUUCACACUACACUCCCCUUUUACCUUCCCUUCCAUUCUCUUCCUUUACCUUGUAUUCCCUUGCUCUCCCUCCCCAAUACACCCCCCUUUUCCUUUGCCUCCCAUUCCCUUCCAUUCCCUUUCUCUCCCUUCGCUCUAUACACCCCAUUUCCCUUCCCUUCUAUUCCCUAUCUCUCCCUUCCCACAACAAAACCCCCCGUUUGACUUCCCUUCCAUUCCCUUCCCUUCCAUUCCAUUCCCUUCCAUUCCAUUUCUCUACCUUCCCACAGCAACCCCAUUUCCCUUCCCUUCCAUUCCCUUCCACUCCCUACCCACUACUCCCCCCAUUUCCCUUACCUUCCAUUCCCUUCAAUUCCCUUGCUCUCCCUUCCCACUACAACCCCCGUUUCCCUUCCCUUCUAUUCCCUUCCAUUCUCUUGCUCUCCCUUCCCAGUACAACCCCUAUUUCCCUUCCCUUCCAUUCUCUUGCUCUCCCUUCCCACUACACCCCCAUUUCCCUUCCCUUCCUUUCCCUUGCUCUCCCUUCCCACUUCAUCCCCCAUUUCCCUUCCCUUCCAUUCCCUUCAAGUCCUUUGCUGUCCCUUGCUCUCCCUUCCCACUUCCCCCCCCGUUUCACUUCCCUUCAAUUUCGUUGCACUCCCUUCCCACUAUUCCCCCCAUUUCCCUUCCCUUCCAUUCCCUUGCUCUCCCUUCUCACUACACCCCCCAUUUCCCUUUCCUUCCAUUCCCUUUGCUCUUCCUUCCCACUAUACCCCACAUUUCCCUUCCAUUCCCUUCCAUUCCCUUCCUCUCCCUUCCAUCUGCAACCCCAUUUCCCUUCCCUUCCAUUCCCUUCUGCUCCCUACCCACUACACUCCCCAUUUCCCUUCUUUUCCUUACCCUUACUCUCCCUCCCCACUACACCCCCCUUUUCCCUUCCCUACCAUUCCCUUUC